AGUUGGAGCCCAGGAGUUUGACAUGAGCCAGGCAACGUAGUAAGUCCCCAUUCGUACAAAAAUGUUUUUGGAGAAAAGUAGUUGAGUGUGGGGGCACAUGCCUGUAGUCCCAGGUACGUGGGAGGCUGAGGCAAGAAAAUUGCUUCAGCCUGGGAGAUUGAGGCUGCAGUGAGCUCUGAUCACCACAAUGCACACCAGCCUGUGAGUCCGGAGACCCGAGCUGGCGCCUUGAAGCGGGGUCCCCCUGCACCGGUAGAAGUCGGCUCAAGGAGGUUCUGAGAACAGGACUCCCGGGGGUCUGGCCCUGGAGGACCCGAAGCCCCCACUCCCAUAACGCCCCUUACUACAUCCCCACUCCAGCCGCCACUGCAACUGCCACAGAAUCCCCGCCACGUGUUGCCGAACCUGUUUAAAGCGGCCACAGCCGGAGUUUGAAGAGCAAAGCAGGAGUCGGCCUGGGCAAUGCGCAUGCGGGAGGCACGAGCCCAUUCUCCCGUGACGGUGACACCAACGGUUGGCUGAGGACGAUUCCCUGAGCCUUGACAAAGCAGGAGCCCUCCGUGGCGGUGCGUCGGUGUCGAGGCUCCAAUCUGACUAAUCCAGGGGGUCGACAAAACAGAUUCGGGACACUAUGCUACACGGAGGGCCUACCAGGAUGCAGAAACAGCAGACGGAGUCCAGGGAAAGCAGUGCGGCAUCCCAGCCUCAGGCCUGCCCGUACGGUGUUCGGGAGGGGAGGAGACCAAUGUGAAAGGAGAUGGUUCUAUCUCCUCGCGGCUCUUCUCUGAGGAAUGAAGCCACGAUACGAAACAGUCUUCAAGAAGAAGCUGAAAACCGGAUAUGACACGGAUGUCCCCAGAACACAGCAGGCAUCCUGAAGCUCCGCCUCCUGAAGCUCCCCCUCCCUCGGUGGAAGUCGGCUCAGGGAGGUCCUGAGGACAGGACUCCUGGGGGUUUGGCUGCAGAAUGAAUUCAUUAGGACUUUAUAUAAUUUUUCAAAUCAUGAAAUUGCGCAAUCUUUUGAAUAUGGAAUUGGGAGGCCUUUCAGUUCAUUCAGUAGAAAACUGGAACAUUUUUGAAAGGUGAUCUGCUUGACACCUUUCAAAGAGCACAAAACCUUGUGAAGUAGCAGAUGCAAUGAUUACCAAUGUACUUUAUAAAAUGACUUUCAGAGUUUGAGAUUAAAUUGGCUUUUCUGAAAUAUGUAAGUCUCUGGAAAAACUCAACAUUUCUAAUCUUGCUUUGGAAAGCCUUUAAGUAUGUAAAAAUCAAUUUCUUAGAUCUUCUCUGAAAUAAACAUGGAAUAUCCUAAGGUUUUGUUCAUGUUUCAUGAAUUUCACAGCAUUCAUCAUAUUUUAAAGUUAUUUUUGAUGCUUUGCAUUGUAUUAAAAUCUCUCUUGGAAUGAGAGGCCUGAAAAACAAUCAUAAUAUACUGUUGUUGUCUAACAAUAUAUCAAGUUUUUAAUGACUCUUACAAUGCAAUAUUUUUAUCAUUCUUGUAGUUUAUCCACGUGUAUUUAAUAUUACUAGCAGAAAUUUAGAUUUUAGUAAAUUAAUUCUGAUCUUUGUAAAAUAAAAUACUUUAGUUUUCAAUCUA